rnacentral:lncRNA from 1 species
UUGUUUUCAUGACUUCAUUUAACCUACAAACACAACGUUAAAAUCACAUAAUAUAUCGUUAAUAACUGAUAAAAAUUAGCUAAAUAUGAAGCUGAAAUGAUAUUCAUGUAGACAUGUAGUGAGUGAAAUAUCAUUCAUUAUGGUCUCCACGCUAUGGGGAAACUUUUCGUCUAGUUUGUGUUCUUGAAUUCAUUGAUGAAGAAUAAGUUAGAUUUGUAUAUAAAUAAAUUUUAUUACUAAUGAAUGGCUUUUUAAAUAAUUUUUGCAGAUGUCAUUAGAAUACAAACUGUCUCCAAACCAAUGAUUUUCUGCUACUAUUACUCAAUUUGUAAAUCAUCAAUAUCUUAAAGAUUUUGUGAAACUUGUAGAUGCAGAUCAACAAGCUUCUUUGAUCUAUAGUAUUUUUUAUGAAUUUAUUUAUGGAUCUAUCUACAAAGCAGAAGAAGAACGAUUUAGUAGUAAGUUAGUACAUGAGUUUAUAAUGAGACUCGUUAAUUGUGGUAAAAAUAAUGAAGUUUGGGUACGUUUAGAUAAUCAUGU